rnacentral:rRNA from 1 species
ACGGGAGGCAGCAGUGGGGAAUAUUGCACAAUGGGGGAAACCCUGAUGCAGCGACGCCGCGUGAGUGAAGAAGUAUUUCGGUAUGUAAAGCUCUAUCAGCAGGGAAGAAAAUGACGGUACCUGACUAAGAAGCCCCGGCUAACUACGUGCCAGCAGCCGCGGUAAUACGUAGGGGGCAAGCGUUAUCCGGAUUUACUGGGUGUAAAGGGAGCGUAGACGGCAAAGCAAGUCUGAUGUGAAAUGUUGGGGCUCAACCCCGAAACUGCAUUGGAAACUGUUUAGCUAGAGUGCAGGAGAGGUAAGUGGAAUUCCUAGUGUAGCGGUGAAAUGCGUAGAUAUUAGGAGGAACACCGGUGGCGAAGGCGGCUUACUGGACUGUAACUGACGUUGAGGCUCGAAAGCGUGGGGAGCAAACAGGAUUAGAUACCCUGGUA